rnacentral:rRNA from 1 species
AUACGUAGGGGGCGAGCGUUGUCCGGAAUGAUUGGGCGUAAAGGGCGCGUAGGCGGCCCGGUAAGUCUGGAGUGAAAGUCCUGUUUUUAAGCUGGGAAUUGCUUUGGAUACUGUCGGGCUUGAGUGCAGGAGAGGUAAGUGGAAUUCCCAGUGUAGCGGUGAAAUGCGUAGAGAUUGGGAGGAACACCAGUGGCGAAGGCGACUUACUGGACUGUAACUGACGCUGAGGCGCGAAAGUGUGGGGAGCAAACAGGAUUAGAUACCCUGGUAGUCCACACUGUAAACGAUGAAUGCUAGGUGUAGGGGGUAUCGACCCCUUCUGUGCCGCAGUCAACACAAUAAGCAUUCCGCCUGGGGAGUACGGCCGCAAGGUUGAAACUUAAAGGAAUUGACGGGG